AUUCCAGCUCCAAAAGCGUAUAUUAAAGUUGUUGCAGUUAAAAAGCUCGUAGUUGAACCUUGGGCUUGGUUAGCCGGUCCACCUUUUUGGUGUGUACUGGACCUAACCGAGCCUUUCCUUCUGGCUAACCUUCAUCCUUCUGGGUGUUGGCGAACCAGGACUUUUACUUUGAAAAAAUUAGAGUGUUCAAAGCAGGCCUUUGCUCGAAUAUAUUAGCAUGGAAUAAUAGAAUAGGGCGUUAUGGUUCUAUUUUGUUGGUUUCUAGGACCAUCGUAAUGAUUAAUAGGGACGGUCGGGGGUAUCAGUAUUCAGUUGUCAGAGGUGAAAUUCUUGGAUUUACCGAAGACUAACUACUGCGAAAGCAUUUACCAAGGACGUUUUCAUUG
rnacentral:rRNA from 1 species